CCCCGCGGCCUCGCUCCGCCCCGCGCCCAUCGCCGCGCUGUGCCGCGCCCCGCACUGCGGAUCGGCCAUUGGCACACGCGGGACCCGCCCCGCCGCUCCACACGCGUGUCCGCGCUUCACGUCGCCCGCGGGCGCGCGGCCCCGUGCCCACAGCGCGGAGCGGACGGGAGCGGAGCAGGAGCGUGAACCGGGGCUGCACGGCGGGGACGAGACCAGCCCACGCGGGACGUGGGAGCGGGAGGCGGCGGGGGCAGCUGUGCCGUGAGGUGCAUGUGCAAGGCAUAAGGAGACCUCGUUGCUGCCCGCGUACCUGUACAGCCCGUGUUGGUGCACGUGACGUCUGCAGCCCAUGCACGAUGUGACUGCUCACACCCCACAUACGUGUGUGCACGCAGUGAGGUGGGCACCUGCCCACAGCACAGCCCCCCUGUGUGCAGGUCGGCGGGAUGAGGCGGCGCGUGGCCUGCUGCUGGGUGCUGCUGCUGCUUGCUGCCACCUUCUGCCAGCCAGCUGCCUCCAAGGGCGGGCGUGGGGGCUCCCGGGGGGCUGCACGCGGCAUGGCACGGGGGGCUGCCCGCAGCCGCCACAGGGGCCUGCCACGCUACGGCGGGGCUCUGCGUGUGGCUGCGGCGGCGGCGGCAGCUGGGGCGGCGGCUGGAGCUGCACUGCACCAGGCCCGGGCAGAGAUGGAGUACCACGAGGGCAACGGGACGGCCUGGACGUCGGCGGCACCGGGACGGAUGGAAUGGGGCUGGGCCGUGCCCUGGUUCUGUCCCCUCGCUGCCAUCCUGCACCACUGAUGGCGCCCACUGGGUUCCUCAGCGAUUCGACAGUGACGUGGAAAUAAAGCUGGGCGACGCUGCGUGUGGAUGGAUGUGGCCCAAGCAAGGGCUGGGUGCAGGCACAGGGAUAGCUGUAACACCCUGCACCGAGGCCUCCACGGUUUUACUUGAGGCUACAGGUGGCACCCGCAUGGUUUGGGCCCCCCUUCCCACCAGUCCCAGUGGAGAGGAUACAGAUAUCACAAGACGACCCAUCCAGGAACAAAGCAGCUUUAAUCACACCAUGCCACCACCUGGAGCUGGGGGAGAUGUGAGACGCCCUGCUCUACUCCAGGACCCUCAAUCCAGCGUCAGCCUACCCAGAUGCCCAGCACGGAAGGCCCGCACGAACUCAUAGGCAGCAGCCGAGUAGUUGAGCAUCGUCAUGUUGACAUUCCCUGCAGGAUGGACAGGGGGUUGCCACAGUCCUCAGCAGAGCCCACAGCGCAGUGAGCCCCAUCCCCACGCUCACCUGUGCCUGUCAGCACCUUCACCUUCUGUGUCUUGCCCAGGCUGACUGCCACGUACUUCAGCACAUGCCUGAUGUUGUCGCUGGCUUCGGGCAGUCCAUAGCGCUCCAUGUACCUGCAGAGAGGAUGCAGCUCCCACCCACACCUCAGGGUGCCCCAGCCGUGCCCUGCCCCCCACUCACCCAAACUGCUGCUGCCGGUUCAGUACAUACAGCAGGUAGUCAGCCAUGAUGUCUUCACCCACCAAGUGGUCACGGAUGGCUCCUGUCAGAGGGAAGCCCCCAGCCUCAUCAGUUUUUUCCAUGCAUCCUGCCCCAGGCUGCCCAGCUCCUCGGCCCCGUACCACACAAUGCCAGCUUCAUCCCCGUCUCCACAUCGGCCAACUUUGGGGGCAGCACACCCGGUGUGUCCACCAGGUACACCAGGGGAGUCUCACACACCUGCGGCCCCACCACCAAGACCACGGGCUCAGCAGAGGCUCUUAGCCAAGGCCUCGCCACAAAGCGAUGAGGUGCUCCAUGGGAGAAAGCCUGCACCCUGUACCCAAAGGGAGGGAAUAAUACCUGGAUCCGGGUCAGCACUGCCUUGGUGACGCCUGGCUCACCGCCCACUGCUGUGGCUUUUCCUUUGGGGAAAAGGAGAGAGUGAGGGAACUGUGUGAUGCCUGGAGCAGCAACCCCACAAUGCCACGGAAACUUGAUGUACCCUUUUUUAGGUGCAGCCUCCUCAAGGAGUUGAUAAGUGACGACUUGCCUACGUUGGGCACACCGAUCACCAUGAUGCUGUACUCGGUACUCUGAAAGCAGGGAGGACACGUGCAGGUGCUGUGCUCCACCAAAGGACAUACCCAGGCUGCAGGCUCCCUGCCCCUCCUCACCUCAGCCCGGUGGUAGCGUGGGUUGCCGCUGACAAGCUUGGCGACCAGGGGUACAAUCUGUGGGAGGUGGGGAGGAUGCUCUCAUCGCAGCCUCGGGGUCAAUUGAGGACAGGGCAGAAGCACGGUACCUUCUUCACAUUGGUGUCCUGCUGACAGUCAGUGAAGACAACAUGCGGGCAUCCCUGCUGCCUCAGUCGCUCCAGGACUCUCUGUGGGGACAGUUUAAUAGCGUGGUUCCACUGCAGCCCCACAAGGCCUCAGCUCACUUAAUGCCUCCAGUACUCACUGCCUGCUGCCGUGGGUCAGCCAGGUCCAUCUUGUUCAGCACCAAAAGAUGCGGGCGGAUGCCCAGCACCUCCUGCAGCACCGGGUUACGGCCUGACAGCGGGAUGUGCAGCUGCUAAGGAGAACUGUGGUAUGAGGGAAAACAGGAGAGCAGGGGGCUGCUGUGGCUUGUGGGGUGGAGAGGCUCGGCUCGAGGUAACAGGGCUUAAAGGGGGGGGUGGAAAAACUGUGUGUUGGAGCAGAUCAUAGGGACAAACAGGAGCGUGGGGGCUGGUUAUGGGGCUGGUAAUGGGGGCUGGUUAUGGGGCUGGUUAUGGAGCUGGUUGUGGGGCUGGUUAUGGGGCUGAGAGCAGGAAGCAGGGGGCGGUCUGAGGGCUGUGCUGAGGCCGGUGCCGUUCCAAUAGGAGCUGGGGGCACAGCAGGGCCCGGUGUGUGUGUGUGUGUGUAUAAGGAUAUCCGGGCGUCGUGCACCUCCACCAGGCAGUCGGCACGGCGCAGGGAGGCCCGCAUCUGCCGCAGCCCUGCAACACAACGCCCGCUGAGCCGAGCGGCCGCACACACCGCCGUUCCCGCUCCCUCACCCUUGGCCAUGUCUCACCUUUAGCCAUGUGCCCGGGGAACCAUGAUGCCGCAUCGCGGCUGCCGAAAUCGAAUCGUGCUCGGAACGCGCCCGACUCGGCGCCGCUCACUGAGGCGGCGGCCCGCAGCGCUCCCGCGCAGCGCCUCAUGACGCUUCCGGUGCGUCACUUCCGGCAGGGAGAAGCGGAAGCGGCGCCGGUGUCGUGACGUCAUUCCGCAGUGACGUCACUGAGCCGUGACGCAGCGCCAUGGCGGAGCCGCGGCCCGGGGCGGAUCCUCGCAGUUCGGCGGGGCCGGGCCCGGCGCCCGCUGCUCCCCCUCAGCCUCCAUCGCAGCCUCCAUCGCAGCCUCCUUCACAGCCUCCAUCGCAGCCUCCUGCCGCCCCACAGCCCCCCACGGAGGUCGCCCCGCAGCCAGGCCCCGUGACAGCCCCGCUGGACGACACGCGCUUCAUGAUCGCCGGCACCAACUGGUACUGACGGCCCGGAGGAUGAGCGGGCGGCGGGCAAUAAAGCAGCCGGAACCGUG